UUUUAUGGCCCUACUGCCCUAAACAUUCCCAAACUGGUCUGAUCUCAGAAGCUAGGCAGGGCCUGGUCUGGUCAGCACUUGGAGAGAAGACUGCCUGGGAACAGGCAGUAGGCUUAAAUU
ensembl:rRNA 5S_rRNA 5S ribosomal RNA